AGAGUUUGAUCAUGGCUCAGAGCGAACGCUGGCGGUAUGCUUAACACAUGCAAGUCGAGCGCGAAAGUGACUUCGGUCAUGAGUAGAGCGGCGGACGGGUGAGUAACACGUGGAUAAUCUGCCUUUAGGACUGGGAUAACCCUGGGAAACUAGGGCUAAUACCGGAUAAGACCACAGGUUCCAUGGAACCAGGGGUAAAAGGCGGCCUUCGGGCUGUCGCCGAAAGAUGAGUCCGCGUCCCAUCAGGUGGUUGGUGAGGUAACGGCUCACCAAGCCGAAGACGGGUAGCCGACCUUAGCGGGUGAUCGGCCACACGGGGACUGAGACACGGCCCCGACUCCUACGGGAGGCAGCAGUGGGGAAUCUUGGGCAAUGGGCGCAAGCCUGACCCAGCAAUACCGCGUGAGGGAUGAAGGCCUUCGGGUCGUAAACCUCUGUCAGUAGGAACGAUGGGUCUCCGGGCUAAUAUCCCGGAGACUUGACGGUACUUACAAAGGAAGCCCCGGCUAACUCCGUGCCAGCAGCCGCGGUAAUACGGAGGGGGCGAGCGUUGCUCGGAAUUACUGGGCGUAAAGGGUCCGCAGGUGGCCUCGUAAGUUAGAUGUGAAAUCUUAGGGCUUAACCCUGAAACUGCAUCUAAUACUGCAAGGCUUGAGUCCAGGAGAGGUUGGCGGAAUUCCAGGUGUAGCGGUGAAAUGCGUAGAUAUCUGGAGGAACACCAGUGGCGAAGGCUGCCAACUGGCCUGGUACUGACACUCAGGGACGAAAGCGUGGGUAGCGAACCGGAUUAGAUACCCGGGUAGUCCACGCCCUAAACGUUGGAUGCUAGGUGUGGGGAUGAAAAUCUCUGUGCCGAAGUUAACGCAUUAAGCAUCCCGCCUGGGGAGUACGGUCGCAAGAUUGAAACUCAAAGGAAUUGGCGGGGGCCCGCACAAGCGGUGGAGCAUGUGGUUUAAUUCGAUGCAAGCGAGACCUUACCAGGGCUUGACAUACUGACUUAAGCUUAUGUGAAAGCAUGGAGUGGCGUAAAGCUUGC
rnacentral:rRNA from 1 species